GUGGAGCAUGUGGCUUAAUUUGACUCAGCGCGGGAAAUCUUACCGGGUCCGGACACACUGAGGAUUGACAGAUAUACGCUGCGUUAUGUCUCUCACGGGACUGCGUGGCUCAAAGAUGCUAGUUCUUUCAUGAUUAUGUGAUAGGUGGUGCAUGGCCGUUCUUAGUUCGUGGAGUGAUCUGUCUGCUUAAUUGCGUAUCAAUAAUAGAGACCUAGUAUACGUGCAUUACUCAUGUGGUAGUGACCCCCUCUUCGCGGAGGCGCGUGUCGCACAUAUGGUAUGCGCACUGGUCUCAGAUAGCAACGAACGUGACCGUAUUCUAUUGUUGCAGUGAAUUAUACGUGCUGCUCUUUACCGAGUUAGUUACAUCCCACUGCUUAGUGUGCGCGGCGUAUUUCGGUACUCGCGUUACACAUUAAACUAUAGAGACCGCUGUUUCUUCUUUAAACCAGAGGAAGGAUAC
rnacentral:rRNA from 1 species